GACUAAGAAUACUGAGUGAUGCAGUUGUGACUUUUGAGGGCUUCGUAACAAGGUCAUUUGUACUGCAUGCUGGAAGACAUUAGGGAACUGCUUCACUUGCCUGCAUUAAUGUGACUUCUGAAACGGUCUCUUCCUCAUCUGUCUUUCAGAGUUCUCUCACUGUGACCAUGUUGAUUGUUCUGCUUCUCAGUGCUGUCUUUGCUCUGGGUGAUGCGGGCGAUGGGGGUAAGCGCAAGUGUCCCAAAAGAUGGUUUGAGUUUCAGUCACAAUGCUUCCUGAUUGACAAGACUGCGAGGACCUGGCGUGAAGCAGAGCACAACUGAGUGUCUCUGGGCCGGAACCUAGAGUCUGAGCAUGAUUCCGACAGCUACUCUGGACACUUGGCAUCGGUGCACAACCCUGAGGAAUUCCAGUUCCUGCAGGCACUAACACAGAUUGUGAGCCUCCCGCUCUGGAUUGGAGGUUCAGCCCAGGAUGGACGAUGGUCCUGGAGUGACGGCUCCAAAUUCAACUACAAGAACUGGGCCAAAGGAAAGCCGGAGAACUUUGAUCCUGCCAGAAGGCCAUGUAUCCAGAUGAACUAUGGAGAGAAACACCGGUGGAAUGAUGCAACGUGUGGAAUGAAGUUUCCCUCCCUGUGUUCUCUAAGGACAGAGUAGAUCUGGCGGAAUCAGAUGUCAGUGUCUCUGAACACAUUAGGGAAAAUCACAGGCAUGAAUGUUUGUGAAUGCUCCUUAUUUGACUAAUAAAACAAGUGCACACAUU